GAUGAACGCUGGCGGCGUGCUUAACACAUGCAAGUCGAACGGAAAGGCCCAAGCUUGCUUGGGUACUCGAGUGGCGAACGGGUGAGUAACACGUGGGUGAUCUGCCCUGCACUUCGGGAUAAGCCUGGGAAACUGGGUCUAAUACCGGAUAGGACCACUUCUUGGAUGUUGUGGUGAAAAGUUUUUUCGGUGUGGGAUGAGCUCGCGGCCUAUCAGCUUGUUGGUGGGGUAAUGGCCUACCAAGGCGUCGACGGGUAGCCGGCCUGAGAGGGUGUACGGCGACCUUGGGACUGAGAUACGGCACAGACUCCUACGGGAGGCAGAAGUGGGGAAUAUUGCACAAUGGGCGCCAGCCUGAUGAAGCGACGCCGCGUGGGGGAUGACGGCCUUCGGGUUGUAAAAUCCUUUCGCUAGGGACGAAGCGUUUUGUGACGGUACCUGGAGAAGAAGCACCGGCUAACUACGUG
rnacentral:rRNA from 1 species